UACGUAGGUGGCAAGCGUUGUCCGGAUUUACUGGGCGUAAAGGGAGCGUAGGCGGAUACUUAAGUGGGAUGUGAAAUCCCCGGGCUUAACCUGGGGGCUGCAUUCCAAACUGGGUAUCUAGAGUGUCGGAGAGGAAAGUGGAAUUCCUAGUGUAGCGGUGAAAUGCGUAGAGAUUAGGAAGAACACCAGUGGCGAAGGCGACUUUCUGGACGAUAACUGACGCUGAGGCUCGAAAGCGUGGGGAGCAAACAGG
rnacentral:rRNA from 1 species